UUCGUAGACUUCGUAUUUGGCUCUUUUUCUCUCCCCCUCUUUCUUGUUCAGAGUUUAGCUUCGUCAACUGUUCAAGAAAAGUGAAGCCCAGGCAGUGUCAGUUUGGCUUUUAGAUAUAGAGAUGGCUAGUGGGUUUGGUCAAUCAACAAGCAUGCCGCCUGAAAGUUCGACUUGCUCGGGCAAUAAUGCUAAUGAUGCCGGUGAUUUUGAAUGCAAUAUAUGCUUCGAAUUAGCGCAAGAUCCGAUUGUAACCCUUUGUGGUCACCUCUUCUG
rnacentral:misc_RNA from 1 species